GUGCUCGUAAAAAGGGGACCUAGUUUCAUCUCCCUCUACAAGGAUGGAAUCAACCUUCGCGUUUUAGCUGUUACCACACAUCCAUUUAAGGAAUUCCAAUUCAGUGGGACAAGCAAAGAAUGUG